AGUGAACGCUGGCGGUAGGCCUAACACAUGCAAGUCGGACGGCAGCACAGUAAGAGCUUGCUCUUACGGGUGGCGAGUGGCGGACGGGUGAGGAAUACAUCGGAAUCUACUUUUUCGUGGGGGAUAACGUAGGGAAACUUACGCUAAUACCGCAUACGACCUACGGGUGAAAGCAGGGGAUCUUCGGACCUUGCGCGAUUGAAUGAGCCGAUGUCGGAUUAGCUAGUUGGCGGGGUAAAGGCCCACCAAGGCUACGAUCCGGAGCUGGUCUGAGAGGAUGAUCAGCCACACUGUAACUGAGACACGGUCCAGACUCCUACGGGAGGCAGCAGUGGGGAAUAUUGGACAAUGGGCGCAAGCCUGAUCCAGCCAUACCGCGUGGGUGAAGAAGGCCUUCGGGUUGUAAAGCCCUUUUGUUGGGAAAGAAAAGCAGCAGGUUAAUACCCCGCUGUUCUGACGGUACCCAAAGAAUAAGCACCGGCUAACUUCGUG
rnacentral:rRNA from 1 species